GCCCAAAACUGAACACAGUAUUUGAGAUGUGGCCUCACCAGUGCCAAGUACAGGGGGACAGUCCCUUCCCUAGUCCUGCUGGCCACACUACUCCUGGUACAAGCCAGGAUGUUGUUGGCCUUCUUGGAAACCUGGGCACAAUGCUG